GGAGCAAGACCGCGUGCGGGAGGAAGGUCUAUUGAUUGUAAACCGCUUUUGAUAGGGAAGAAGAUCUGACGGUACCUAUCGAAUCAGCAUCGGCUAACUCCGUGCCAGCAGCCGCGGUAAUACGGGGGAUGCAAGCGUUAUCCGGAAUUAUUGGGCGUAAAGCGUCCGUAGGUGGUUUUAUAAGUCUGUUGUCAAAUCGCGAGGCUUAACCUCGUACAGGCAGUGGAAACUAUAAGACUAGAGUGCGGUAGGGGUAGAGGGAAUUUCCAGUGUAGCGGUGAAAUGCGUAGAUAUUGGAAAGAACACCGGUGGCGAAGGCGCUCUACUGGGCCUGCACUGACACUGAGGGACGAAAGCUAGGGGAGCGAAAGGGAUUAGAUACCCCUGUAGUCCUAGCCGUAAACGAUGGAAACUAGGUGUU
rnacentral:rRNA from 1 species